UUGCCUCAGUAACGGCGAGUGAAGCGGCAAGAGCUCAAAUUUGAAAGCUGGCUCCUUCGGAGUCCGCAUUGUAAUUUGCAGAGGAUGCUUUGGGUGCGGCCCCCGUCUAAGUGCCCUGGAACGGGCCGUCAGAGAGGGUGAGAAUCCCGUCUUGGGCGGGGUGUCCGUGCCCGUGUAAAGCUCCUUCGACGAGUCGAGUUGUUUGGGAAUGCAGCUCUAAAUGGGUGGUAAAUUUCAUCUAAAGCUAAAUACUGGCCGGAGACCGAUAGCGCACAAGUAGAGUGAUCGAAAGAUGAAAAGCACUUUGAAAAGAGAGUUAAACAGCACGUGAAAUUGUUGAAAGGGAAGCGCUUGCGACCAGACUCGCCCGCGGGGUUCAGCCGGCAUUCGUGCCGGUGUACUUCCCCGUGGGCGGGCCAGCGUCGGUUUGGGCGGCCGGUCAAAGGCCCCUGGAAUGUAGUNNCCUCCGGGGUACCUUAUAGCCAGGGGUGCAAUGCGGCCAGCCUGGACCGA
rnacentral:rRNA from 1 species